CUCUCUCUAGUGUUAGCGGAAGCAUGCAUCGUUUGGGACGAUGUGGGGUAGGUUCGAAUCCUACGAGAGUGACCA
rnacentral:tRNA from 1 species